GACAGAGGUGCCAAGCGUUAGGCGGAAUCACUGGGCUUAAAGCGUGUGUAGGCGGAUUUGUAAGUACCUUGUGAAAUCCCAUGGCUCAACCAUGGAACUGCUCGGUAUACUGCGAAUCUUGAGCCACUUAGGGGCUACCGGAACAAAUGGUGGAGCGGUGAAAUGCGUAGAUAUCAUUUGGAACGCCAAUGGUGAAAAACAGGUAGCUGGGAGUGUGCUGACGCUGAGACACGAAAGCCAGGGGAGCGAACGGG
rnacentral:rRNA from 1 species